GACGAACGCUGGCGGCGUGCUUAACACAUGCAAGUCGAGCGAUGAAGUUUCUUCGGAAAUGGAUUAGCGGCGAACGGGUGAGGAACACGUGAAGAAUCUGCCCUCCACUUUGGGAUAACACAGGGAAACCUGUGCUAAUACCGAAUAUUGAAACAUAAGUGGCAUCACUGAGUUUUGAAAGAAUUUCGGUGGAGGAUGACUUCGCGGCCUAUCAGCUAGUUGGUGAGGUAAUGGCUCACCAAGGCAACGACGGGUAGCCGGCCUGAGAGGGCGACCGGCCACACUGGGACUGAGACACGGCCCAGACUCCUACGGGAGGCAGCAGUGGGGAAUAUUGGGCAAUGGAGGAAACUCUGACCCAGCGACGCCGCGUGCGGGAUGAAGGCCUUCGGGUUGUAAACCGCUUUCAGUAGGGAAGAAGCGAAAGUGACGGUACCUACAAAAGAAGCACCGGCUAACUAUGUGCCAGCAGCAGCCGCAGUAA
rnacentral:rRNA from 1 species